GCUGGGCAUGAUGGUGCAUGCCUGUAAUCUCCAGUGACUCGGGAGGCUGAAGCAGGAGGAUUGCAAGUGUGAAUCCAGCCUCAGCAACUUAGUGAGACCCUGUCUCAA
rnacentral:sRNA from 1 species